AAUGGCAAUUUUUGGUAACCCGACAUGACGGAUUUUGGCGAGUUCGCAUUCGGAUCGCACCACUUAGCGUGUGGCUGUCCCAACACCCAAAAGUGAGUGUUUUGGGAUAGCAUGGAAGGCUGAAUUAAUUUUGGAGUCGUUCGGAAUGCUUUGGGGCUAAUUUGAGCCCCAAAAUGCUGAAAUCGAGCGAUUUCGGGUGUGGUUUCUUGUCGCGCAGGUUGUUGCUGUUCGCAACAGAGUAUGAGCCUUAUUGGCUGGUCUUAGUGUGAGGUUUGACACCUCUGGUCGCAGCACGAUGGCUGCGGGUGGCUCUGGUGCCGAAAGGCACCUCGGACGCCAAACCGGUGAUUUCCGGGACCACGGCUUUCAGUUUUGAUGCACUAUUUGUGCGGCUGCCCCAUUGGCAUUAAAUUGAUGUAUUGGGACAGCGAACGAGGUAGGCUUUGUGUGGGAUUUAUUUUGGAAUACCCUGUGGGUUGGGGUGACACUCUGACGAGUCGGUGCGACAAUCGGGCGAUCUUUCGGUGAUCGAGGAACGGGAUCCAAAAACCCGAUUGCUUUCUUGUUGGUUUCACUUGAAACCAUAGCUUUUAUAAUUAGUGGGUUCGAGCUAAUUACGUUUUGGGAGGACUUAGUAUAGGUACGGACUGUGGCGGGAGACAUUGACGGGUGUCGACAACCCGGUUACAUUCUUCAGUAGAGGUGAUGCGGGCAGUGAGAGUUGGGAUGGUGUGCGAGGAUAAUACUAGAUAGCCAACUUCCUGUUUGGUCCUUAUCGACCCUUAUAUCCAGUAUUUGUUUUGGCUUUUCAUGUCUGUUGGAUUAGUUUGGUUCUUCACCUGUUAAUGUACUUAUAUCAAUAGAUGUGAAAAUAAUUAUUGCUCUAUGAUUAUUGUUGUUUAAUGAGCAUUA